AAAAACGGAAUUAACAGAAAGAACGGAAAUAAUAACGGAAAUAACGGAAAUAACGGAAAUAACCUCCGCAGGGACAGAAACAUACAGCAGGAAAUUAGGUGACAGGUCGAGAAUAACAACGGAAAGAACGGAAAGAACAGAAAGUACCUCCAGAGUGACAGAAACAUACGGCAAAAAAUUAGGUGACAGGUCAAGAAUAAGAACAGAAAGAAAGGAAAGAACGGAAAGAACCUCCAGAGAGACAGAAACAUACGGCAAAAAAUUAGGUGAAAGGUCAAGAAGAACAACCGAAAUAACAGAAAAAACCAAAAUAACGGAAAUAAUAACGGAAAUAACAGAAAUAAUAACGGAAAUAGCGGAAAAAAUAACGGGAAUACUAAGAGAAAAAAAUAACGGAAAUAGUAACGGAAAUAACGGAUAUAACUGAAAUAACCGAAAUAACUCCACAGAGACAGAAACAUACGGCAGAAAAUUAGGUGACAGGUGAAGAACAACAACGGAAAUAACAGAAAAAAACAAAAUAACGGAAAUAGUAACGGAAAUACCAGAAACAAUUACGGAAAUACAAAAAAAUAAUAAGGCAAAUAAGAACGGAAAUAAGAGCAGAAAUAAUGGAAAUAAUAACGGAAAUAAUAACCUAAAUAACGGAAAUAACAGAAAUAACGGAAAUA
rnacentral:lncRNA from 1 species